GGAAUGAACUUCCUCCCCUGAUCCAGCAAAGCCUGAAGUUUCAGACCAUCAGGACACUUCACAAGGUUCAUCCACUCCACUGUGAGCAGCCUCCUUCCAAAGCUGCCAUUACAGUUGCUCGUGUUUCAGCACUGUUGGAUCCAGGACAACUGGGCUUGGAAAACCCACGGUUAUAUGCAAUGUUACAACUUCUGUACAUCAGUCUUCAAUUUCCCUGAUCUCCAUUAUUCAUCAAAUUAACUUCAGAACAGUGUGGUAACAAACACCAUCACUUAAACUAUUCAG
rnacentral:lncRNA from 12 species